GAUCAUGGCUCAGGAUGAACGCUGGCGGCGUGCUUAACACAUGCAAGUCGAGCGAAGCACUUUACUUGGAUUUCUUUCGGAAUGACGAGUAUUGUGACUGAGCGGCGGACGGGUGAGUAACGCGUGGGUAACCUGCCUCAUACAGGGGGAGUAACAGUUAGAAAUAGACUGCUAAUACCGCCAUAAGAACCACAGCACCGCAUGGUGGCAGGGGUAAAAACGUAACCGGUCGGGUAGUUGAGGAAUGGACCCCGG
rnacentral:rRNA from 1 species